rnacentral:lncRNA from 1 species
AGCACAUCCUUUGUACUCAUUUAGAAACGUAACUCUGAAUUUCUCUGUCUCUGCAAAGGGGUAAUUCCUGGGUGUUCUUCAGUGGUGAGUGAAGGCAUUUUUGCACAUGCUAUCGGAUGAACUGAGUCUAGAAUUUUGGUGAGACAUAUUUGAUACCGAAAAAAGUGAACCCCAGGAGAGGGCUCCAAGCUUCAGCUCUUGUCUGAGACUGUCCUGCACUGUGGCUGUAUGAUUACCAUAGCCCUUGACUUCUGAAUGGCAAAUGGCACCUGAAAGAGAAAUCACUAAGUCACAGGGUCGGCUCCAUCCUACUCCUCUAUACUAUACAGGUGACCUUCCUGCUUCCUGCUUCCUGCUUCCUGCUUCCUGCUUCCUGCUUCCUGCUUCCUGCUUCCUGCUUCCUGCUUCAGACUGCAGACCAGGGCUUGGACUUGGCUGUGUUCCUCUGCUGAAGGUUACAGCUACUGCUGCACAGCUGUCUUUGUACAGAUCUCCCCAGAUAAAGCCACAAUGUAAGGUUCCAGGUGGCCACACUUAUUUGGAGACACCAUUUAACACGGUUCUGCUUCUACUUCCAUGAGAACCUAGUGAAGAAGACACAGCCAGAGCUUUGAUCAAAGAUUCCAAAUGCAAAUACAACUAACCACCCAACUGGUCCCAUCAGCCAAUGUAUCUCUUUGUUACCUCAAGGGAGAUUGAUUUACGCUUUCAUCAAUAAAUCUUCAUAUUUUCAA